GUUAUAGGGACAAGUGAAUAAGUGCACAUGGUGGAUGCCUUGGCGAUUACAGGCGAUGAAGGACGUAGUAGCUUGCGAUAAGCUGCGGGGAGCUAGCAAACAAGCUUUGAUCCGCAGAUUUCCGAAUGGGGAAACCCGGCCUUUUAGGUCAUUGCAUGCUGAAUACAUAGGCAUGCAAAGCGAACGCGGCGAACUGAAACAUCUAAGUAGCUGCAGGAAAAUAAAUCAACCGAGAUUCCCAAAGUAGUGGCGAGCGAAAUGGGAAGAGCCUGUACGUGAUAGUCGGACUGAUAGAAGAAUCCUCUGGAAAUAGGAACCAUAGCGGGUGAUAGUCCCGUAUUCGAAAUCAGACCGGUGGUACUAAGCGUACGACAAGUAGGGCGGGACACGAGAAAUCCUGUCUGAAUAUGGGGGGACCAUCCUCCAAGGCUAAAUACUCGUAAUCGACCGAUAGUGAACCAGUACCGUGAGGGAAAGGCGAAAAGAACCCCGGGAGGGGAGUGAAAUAGAUCCUGAAACCGUGUGCAUACAAACAGUAGGAGCGGACUUGUUCCGUGACUGCGUACCUUUUGUAUAAUGGGUCAGCGACUUACAUUCAGUGGCAAGGUUAACCGUAUAGGGAAGCCGUAGAGAAAUCGAGUCCGAACAGGGCGAUAGUCGCUGGGUGUAGACCCGAAACCAAGUGAUCUACUCAUGGCCAGGAUGAAGGUGCGGUAACACGCACUGGAGGUCCGAACCCAC
rnacentral:rRNA from 1 species